GAUGAAGAACGCAGCGAAAUGCGAUAAGUAAUGUGAAUUGCAGAAUUCAGUGAAUCAUCGAAUCUUUGAACGCACAUUGCGCCCGCCAGUAUUCUGGCGGGCAUGCCUGUUCGAGCGUCAUUUCAACCAUCAAGCCCCCGGGCUUGUGUUGGGGACCUGCGGCUGCCGCAGGCCCUGAAAAGCAGUGGCGGGCUCGCUGUCACACCGAGCGUAGUAGAUUUUAUCUCGCUCAGGGCGUGCUGCGGGUUCCGGCCGUUAAACCACCUUCAUAACCCAAGGUUGACCUCGGAUCAGGUAGGAAGACCCGCUGAACUUAAGCAUAUUCAAUAAGCGGAGGA
rnacentral:misc_RNA from 1 species